AAAGCUGGGGAGACUGUGAGCCUUGGACUUGCAGGGCCUCUUGUUCUGUGAAUAUCAUUAUUUAUUAGCAGAGGCAGGUUUUUUUUUUUUUUUUCCCUCCGUUUCUUCUCUUUGGGCCUUAAAAAGGAAACUGCCAAUGACCAAGUGUUUGCACUAGCCAUACCGGUCUGUUUUUGUACUUAUUCUUUUCCGAAGUGUCUCCCUUAGGUUUGUCAAUAAUUCAGAACCUCUUAGAAACAUCUUGAGGUAUUUGGAAAAUAGAGUGAGGGUGGAGUGGCAGAAAGUAACGUAGAGUAACAGGACCAGAAGAUAGCACCGAGUCAGACAAGAGCCGUUUUGCCCUGCUGGCAUCCUUUUCUCUCCGUCUCCCCCGCUUUUGAUCCUGACAGCCCUUCUCCCACUCCUGUUCCUUUACCAAGUGCCCAGAAUGCUCAGGGGUGCUGGUCCUCCAAAUCAGCCUCCGAUGGGGGAUGGCACAUUUCCCAUGGCUACAUCCUUUACACGGGAUUUAGUGUCCACCACUUCAUGUGUCUAGUGCAUGGAGGGAUGGGGCUUUGGAGAAACACUGCUUCCAUAAACAACAUCCCCCCCAACCCCGCCUCACUGCUGAGAUUUUAAAGUAUUGGGUGAGAUCAUGUGAGUUAUCAUUAUCUCCUAAUGGAUCCUUCAGCAUAUCCCAACUAAAGGGGCUAUGGGAAGCCUGGGCAGACACCAUCAUGUGGAAGAACGAAGGAGUUCUUCAUCUGGAGGUAGAAGGACUCCUCCGAGAACAGUGAGAGGUGACAAAUAAGCCUUGAGAAGAAGAUAGCGAUGUCACAGACAAAAGAAUGCAUUUGGACUUUGAGGAGUUUCAGAGUGAUACUGCUUAUUACUGGUGAACAAGCCGCCUGCCUGUUCUUCUUCUCGUGAAAUCUCCCAUCUGUUAUCAGAGCUUUCAAGAGGAGCCUGUGAACACGGUGUGAGAUGAGGACGUGUGAGCAACUCUGCCGUGCAGUUCAGCAGGCGUGGACGGCUCCCCUCCUUUCUGCUACGGGCCACCAUUGUGGGUCCCACUGCCCUGGGGUGGGUGGCGUGUGUGGCCCCAGAACUCUUAGGGCAGCACUGUUCAGUGUGGUAGCCGCUAGCCUCAGGUGCCUGUACAGGCCAUGGAGUUUUCCAGGCCAGAAUACCGGAGUGGGUAGCCUUUCCCUUCUCCAGGGGAUCUUCCCAACCCAGGAAUCGAACCCAGUUCUCCUGCAUUGCAGGUGGAUUCUUUACCAGCUGAGCCCCCUGUGCCUGUGGAGCAUGUGAAAUGUGACUAGUCUGAACUGAAGUGUUCUCUGCCUGCAAAGUCCACAUCAGAUUUCAUUUGAUGAACAUACUAUAAAAGAACUCAGUCAUUUUCUAUAGCGGUCAUAUGUUGAAAUGAUAGUGUUUUGAUGUAAUGGGUUACAUAAUAUACACCGUAAAAAUGA